rnacentral:hammerhead_ribozyme from 1 species
GCAUUGUUGAGGAGUCCUAUGAUAGGACGAAACAGCCGUCUAAUGC